rnacentral:sRNA from 1 species
UCCCUCCCACAGCUGCAUGCUCAGUUGAAGAGGAUCACCCUCCCUAAAUAGAGGAGGACCAGUCUUUGGUCAAGGGUAUGCGAGUAGCUGCGCUCCCCUGCUAGAACUUCCAAACAAGCUCUCAAAUUCAACCUUGAUGUCUGGGCAUGGGCAGC